rnacentral:rRNA from 1 species
AACGAACGCUGGCGGCAGGCUUAACACAUGCAAGUCGAACGCAUCCUUCGGGGUGAGUGGCAGACGGGUGAGUAACGCGUGGGAACGUGCCCCUCAGUUCGGGAUAACCCAGGGAAACUUGGGCUAAUACCGGAUACGUGCGAGAGCAGAAAGAUUUAUCGCUGAAGGAUCGGCCCGCGUCUGAUUAGCUAGUUGGUGGGGUAAUGGCCCACCAAGGCGACGAUCAGUAGCUGGUCUGAGAGGAUGAUCAGCCACAUUGGGACUGAGACACGGUCCAAACUCCUACGGGAGGCAGCAGUGGGGAAUAUUGGACAAUGGGCGCAAGCCUGAUCCAGCCAUGCCGCGUGAGUGAUGAAGGCCUUAGGGUUGUAAAGCUCUUUCGUCCGGGACGAUAAUGACGGUACCGGAAGAAGAAGCCCCGGCUAACUUCGUGCCAGCAGCCGCCGUAA